CCUACGGGAGGCAGCAGUGGGGAAUUUUGCGCAAUGGGCGAAAGCCUGACGCAGCAACGCCGCGUGGAGGAUGAAGGCCUUCGGGUCGUAAACUCCUGUCAGGGGGGACGAAACCCGCGAAAGCGGACUGACUGUACCCCCUGAGGAAGCCACGGCUAACUCCGUGCCAGCAGCCGCGGUAAUACGGAGGUGGCGAGCGUUGUUCGGAAUUACUGGGCGUAAAGGGCGCGUAGGCGGCAUGGCAAGUCAGAUGUGAAAGCCCCGGGCUCAACUCGGGAAUUGCAUCUGAAACUGCUUUGCUUGAGUCCUGGAGGGGGUAGUGGAAUUCCCAGUGUAGCGGUGAAAUGCGUAGAUAUUGGGAGGAACACCUGCGGCGAAGGCGGCUACCUGGACAGUGACUGACGCGAUGCGCGAAAGCUAGGGGAGCAAACGGGAUUAGAUACCCGAGUAGUC
rnacentral:rRNA from 1 species